GUUUGAUUCUGGCUCAGAACGAACGCUGGCGGCAUGCCUAACACAUGCAAGUCGAACGAGACCUUCGGGUCUAGUGGCGCACGGGUGCGUAACGCGUGGGAAUCUGCCCUUGGGUUCGGAAUAACCGUUGGAAACGACGGCUAAUACCGGAUGAUGACGUAAGUCCAAAGAUUUAUCGCCCAAGGAUGAGCCCGCGUAGGAUUAGCUAGUUGGUGUGGUAAAGGC
rnacentral:rRNA from 1 species